GAUGAACGCUGGCGGCGUGCCUAAUACAUGCAAGUCGAGCGAACAGAUGAGGAGCUUGCUCCUCUGACGUUAGCGGCGGACGGGUGAGUAACACGUGGAUAACCUACCUAUAAGACUGGGAUAACUUCGGGAAACCGGAGCUAAUACCGGAUAAUAUAUUGAACCGCAUGGUUCAAUAGUGAAAGACGGUUUUGCUGCCACUUAUAGAUGGAUCCGCGCCGCAUUAGCUAGUUGGUAAGGUAACGGCUUACCAAGGCGACGAUGCGUAGCCGACCUGAGAGGGUGGUCGGCCACACUGGAACUGGGACACCGUCCAGACUCCUACGGGAGGCAGCAGUAGGGAAUCUUCCGCAAUGGGCGAAAGCCUGACGGAGCCACGGCGCGUGAGUGAUGAAGGUCUUCGGAUCGUAAAACUCUGUUAUUAGGGAAGAACAAAUGUGUAAGUAACUAUGCACGUCUUGACGGUACCUAAUCAGAAAGCCACGGCUAACUACGUG
rnacentral:rRNA from 1 species